GACAACGCUGGCGGCGUGCCUAACACAUGCAAGUCGAACGGAGAUACGAUUUCGGUUGUAUCUUAGUGGCGAACGGGUGAGUAACGCGUGAGCAACCUGACUCUUAGAGGGGGAUAACACCUGGAAACAAGUGCUAAUACCGCAUAAGACCACGACCCGACAUCGGGAUGAGGUCAAAGGAGCAAUCCGCUGAGAGAGGGGCUCGCGUCCCAUUAGAUAGAUGGCGGGGUAACGGCCCACCAUGUCCGCGAUGGGUAGCCGAGCUGAGAGGCUGAUCGGCCACACUGGAACUGAGACACGGUCCAGACUCCUACGGGAGGCAGCAGUGGGGAAUAUUGGGCAAUGGGCGCAAGCCUGACCCAGCAACGCCGCGUGAGGGAAGAAGGCUUUCGGGUUGUAAACCUCUGUCCUUGGUGACGAAAAAAAUGACGGUAGCCAAGGAGGAAGCCCCGGCUAACUACGUG
rnacentral:rRNA from 1 species